UAACCUCUGGCGAGAAUCGUGAAUGUUA
rnacentral:ncRNA from 1 species